rnacentral:rRNA from 1 species
GUAUACAGCCAUGCCACCCUGAACAAGCCUGAUUCCGUCUGAUCUUGGAAGCUAUGCACAGUUGGGCCUGGUUAGUACUUGGAUGGGAGACCGCCUAGGAAGCCCAGGUGCUGUAGGCA